UAGGUGCUUUCAUCUGGAUAAUUCAUGCUUCAUUAUUGUGCCACUAUCCUCUGUCUUGGAUUGUCCCUUGGCUUCUGUGACAAACAGGGGGUUCAGAUCCAAACCCCAGGAGGUAGUGAUGCUUCAAUUUUUGGUAACAUACAGGGUUCACACUGAUUUUCAAAUGAAGAAUUACUAAUUUGACUUCAAAAGGAAGAACUCAGGUGGGUAUUUAUUACACGGAUACCCACAGUCUCAUUCUUUGUAGCCAAUAUAUAUUUCAUGAAUUGUUUUUCACUAUAAUGACAGCUUUAUUAUUUCCAUUAUGUAAACAAUGUUUAUACAUAUUGAAAACUGUCAUAGAUUCGAGAAUACAAAUAUUAAGAAUUAAAUUUCAUCACCCUGAGAUAACCAUUGUUAAUAAUCUACUAGCCAUUUUCUGUGGAAUUCUUUAUGUACACAGAAGUUUAUGUAAAAGGAAUCAUAUUAUACAUCUUCCUUUUAUCAUGGA